CCCAAAGUGCUGGAAUUACAGACAUGAGCCACCACGCCUGGCUAGUUUGAGGAGUAUUUCAAAAGGAAAUGCAGUGGUAUUUAUAAUAAAAAAAAAAAUUUAAAGGAAAUAAGACCCGAUUAAUAUGUGAAAAACAAUAAUAUAUAAAUACAUGGAUUGCAGCAGGCACUGACAGGGUUGUAGUUGUUUAUGCGCCUUCCUGACGUUCAUGAACGUCACCUCCUUGGAUGCUCAUGUCACUUCUAUGAGGAACAGGAAGCUCUGGGCACCCAGCUGGUGAGGGCAAGAGUCAUGUGUGCCCCACAUGACACCACACUGCUAACUUCCAUCUCACCGGUCCCCAGGCUGUCUGUGCUCCUGAGGGGACUCUGGGGCAUGGUGACACUCCCCAGUGGGCAAGGGAGCUGAGGUCACAGUCUGCUUUCAACACUCAUACCUGAGUCACUGCCUGGGCCUGAGUAGGGGAAAUCCAGCCCCUGCCUGCUGCAGCCACAUGGCCUGGCUCCCCCAGCUCUGGGGGAUGUCACUGUUCUGUGGGUAUCAAGCUGUGUGACGGUGAAGCCAGGUGCCCUCUCCCUACAGCCGCCCUUGGCCCACGGAGCCUGCCUGCUGGGAUGCGGAGGAGGGGGUCCCAGCCCCUCCUGUCCCAUGUCAGGUCUGUAGCACACAGACUGCCUGCCCAGGGUCCUCAGAUCAGCUGUCUUCGCUCUGACCUGCAGGUCUCGGCUCCUGCAUACUGCAAGCUGGGUGCCUUCCUUCUACAGAACCCAGGCGCCCUUGCAAGGAAACCAUGGAAUUUCCCCAGCAAGGAGUCUGCGGCAACUCCAGGCCACAGGAAGGUCACAAAUGGUCAGACAAGGAAUGAAUUCCAGGGAGGAAGCACCAGCCCUGCCCAUGCUGUCUGGGGCCCCUACCAAGGCGACAGGAAAGCUCCACAAACAGAACCCGGAGCGUCCAGGGAGCGUCUGGGCUGCAGUGGGUUCAUAUUGUCUAUGCAGCAUUUCCUAGCACUUUGGGAGGCCAAGGCGUGUGAAUCACGAGCUCAGGAAAUCAAGACCAUCCUGGCUAACACGGUAAGACCCCAUCUCUACUAA
rnacentral:lncRNA from 1 species